rnacentral:rRNA from 1 species
GACGAACGCUGGCGGCGUGCUUAACACAUGCAAGUCGAACGAAGUGGCGAACGGGUGAGUAAUACGUGGGUAACCUGCCCUCCUUUUUGGGAUAAGCCUUGGAAACGGGGUCUAAUACCGAAUAAAGGGGGAUGGGCUCGCGGCCUAUCAGCUUGUUGGUGGGGUGAUGGCCUACCAAGGCGGUGACGGGUAGCCGGCCUGAGCGGGCGACCGGGAACAGUGACACGGGGAUACGGCCCAGGGUAGGAAGGGAGGGGGAAGUGGGGAAUAUUGCAGAAUGGGUGAAAGACUGAUGCAGCGACGCUGCGUGGGGGAUGAGGGCUUUCGGGUUGUAACCGUGGGGAGGUAGCGAACGGGUAGGUGGAGAAGAAGCGCCGGCUAACUACGUGCCAGCAGCCGCGGUAAUAC